CCUGCGGAAUAGCUCCGGGAAACUGGAAUUAAUACCGCAUACGCCCUACGGGGGAAAGAUUUAUCGGGGAAGGAUUGGCCCGCGUUGGAUUAGCUAGUUGGUGGGGUAAAGGCCUACCAAGGCGACGAUCCAUAGCUGGUCUGAGAGGAUGAUCAGCCACAUUGGGACUGAGACACGGCCCAAACUCCUACGGGAGGCAGCAGUGGGGAAUAUUGGACAAUGGGCGCAAGCCUGAUCCAGCCAUGCCGCGUGAGUGAUGAAGGCCUUAGGGUUGUAAAGCUCUUUCACCGGAGAAGAUAAUGACGGUAUCCGGAGAAGAAGCCCCGGCUAACUUCGUGCCAGCAGCCGCGGUAAUACGAAGGGGGCUAGCGUUGUUCGGAAUUACUGGGCGUAAAGCGCACGUAGGCUGAUAUUUAAGUCAGGGGUGAAAUCCCAUAGCUCAACUCUGAAACUGCCCUUGAUACUGUGUAUCUUGAGUAUGGAAGA
rnacentral:rRNA from 1 species